ensembl:lncRNA
GAAGGAGACUCCAUCGCCUCUCUGGGCAGCCUGUUCCAGAGCUCUGUCACCCCUCACAGCAAGGAAGUUCUUCCACAUGUUCAAAUGGAUCUUCCUUGUUCCAGUUUGUGCUCAUUGCCCCUUGUCCUGUUGCUGGGCACCACCAGAAAGAACCUGGCCCCAUCCACUUGAUUCCCACCCUUUAGAUAUUAUGGAAAGAAGUGUGUGGUGCUCAUAAGGACAAGAUGGACACAGCCUCGGGGAUUUGCCUGAAGAUCACAGAAGACCUAAGGCAGAUCUUGGAAAGAAGACAUCCCAGAGGGAUAUUUCCUGUAGUAACCACCCGCUCACCCAUCCUUUCUGCCAGCUGCAUGACUGUACAGCAAAGAAAACAGGAACAACGUGGAGGAGGAAGAUGGGAGCAGGCAGGAAAAACUUUUUCCUGCUUCAGCUCAUCUUUAUUUUUUAUUGAUAACUAACUGUUCUGGAAAAAUAAUUUUGGAGCAUGCAAAGCUACACAAACCACAGAGGUAACAUGUCCCCAUUCAGGACUGAUGCACUGAUGACAGUUCUUUGGCAAAACAGAGGACCCCACAGAAACCUGCACUGGCAGUUCACAUUUUGUGUUACUACUGUGUCUCAAUUUUCUGCGGUUUACAAGUCCUUCUAAUAACUCUCAGCAGAGUAUCACUAUACUGUGAUACAUUACAAUAUGAAGAUCACAUGUAUAAUUCCAAGAAUUAAAAAGUUCAAUCCACAAGCACUUUGUACUAUUUCCCAAAAAUAUGUGAAUACCAAACAUAUUGCUUCUAUGAAUCUGUGCUGUUAAUGGGUAUCUCUUCAAAGAGAGCAAGAGAGUACUGCCCACGUCCUUCUGGCCUCUCUCACUGUGGGUUUUGAUGUGUUUACAUUACUCCAUGCUCACAUAGAAAAGUAUUUUCCAAGACAGCAUGGUUUGCUGUCAGAUAAAGCAUGGUAGCAUAACCAAAACAAAAGAAAAAGGAGAAUAAAUCUAAAGUAGCAUUAGCGCAAAUCACUGAGUGGUGUACACUGUCAGUGAUCGCAUUCUGGUUGAUAUGACUAUGGCCAUACAAAUAUUCUUUUUUCUUAGAGAUACGAG